GGGGAAGGAGGGAGAGAGCAAAACGAAUGAAUAUUCGAGGCUUCCACACAGACCUUCGCAGUUAGCUUUCGGGCGAGUCCUUUGUGAUGUCAUCUGAGGUCACCGACCGUGACCCCUCCGUUUCCAGACAGGUGGCAGACCAACUGCUGAUCCCAGUGGUGCCAGCACAGGACAGCUACAUCUUAAUCUAUGUGUAUUCUUGUCACAAUGUCAAGGCAACAACGUAACUGAAGGCCAAGAGCAACUGGCUGAGGCUGGCUAAUUCAAACGAGUGAACAAAGAUUGUGGAUGAGAGCUUCCUCUAUAUUUACCAUCUUCUCCCAAUGACCAGCAGCCUGCAAUGUGUACCCCCUGGAACCGUCAUAGUUUGCACAACAUUGAACUCUCACUGGGGCCAAGUGUAACAUCAAGUGCAAACAGAGAACGUGUCAACAAUGAAAAACCAGCAAGUCAAGGUGUGCUGAUCAUCAGUACUAGCAUCACUAUAGUAUGCUAGUUCUGUCCGACAGUGUCUAACAGCACAUUGUUUAUAUCAAUUUGUCUUUAAUCUACUAUGCUGAUCAGUUGUGGGUGAAUUUUACAGAACACUGUUCCUGUAUCACUUUCAUUCAUUGUAAGAGUUUUUUUUUAAAAGCAUUGAUAUUUUGAUCCCACGUUGAUUUGUAUUCCUGUGUACAAUACCUUAUUCUGGUGUAUUCAUAUCUACCUAGGAUAUUUCUUUUGGCAGACAUCUAGCGGCGUCAUUGGUUAGAUGUACACAAUAUCCUCACACUCAGGCUUCAAGUGCUUCUAGAACCAUCAGGAUGCUCAGAAGGACAGCCAUACAACUAUAAAAUGAAUGUUGUAACUUCCGUUAAUGCCCCUCCUCCCCUUCUUACCCCAUCCCUUAUUU